rnacentral:miRNA from 1 species
AGGACUGGAACAGGAGUG